GCCGCGGUUGUAGCCGAGGUGGUAAAGCGUUCGGCUCAAAACCGAAAGGGCGCUGGUUCGAAUCCCGCUUGCGGCC
rnacentral:tRNA from 1 species